AUUUAUUAGAUAUUAGACCAAUCGCAGCGAUGUGAUUGAGAUGAUUCAAAGUAACUGAUCGAAUCGUAGCUUGCUACGAUAAAUCAUCUAAGUUUCUGCCCUAUCAGCUCUCGAUGGUAGUGUAUUGGACUACCAUGGCAGUCACGGGUAACGGAGAAUUAGGGUUCGAUUCCGGAGAAGGAGCCUGAGAAACGGCUACUACAACUACGGUUUGGCAGCAGGGAAGAAAAUUGGCCAAUCCUAAUUCAGGGAGCCAGUGACAAGAAAUAGCAAACCGGGAAACUCAGUUUCUACGGUAUUGAAAUGAGAACAGUGUUAAUCUCUUAGCGAGGAACAAUUGGAGGGCAAGCCUGGUGCCAGCAGCCGCGGUAAUUCCAGCUCCAAUAGCGUAUAUUAAAGUUGUUGCAGUUAAAAAGCUCGUAGUUGAACUUCUGCCCAGGACUAUUUCGAUUCGUCGGGUAGUGCUGGGCAUACGUCUGCAAGCUAAAAUCGGCCUUUACUGGUUCGACUUAGUAAGUAGACAUUUUACUGUGAAAAAAUUAGAGUGUUUCAGGCAGGUUUUAGCCCGUAUACAUUAGCAUGGAAUAAUGGAAUAGGACUGAGUCCAUUUUAUUGGUUCUUGGAUUUAGUAAUGAUUAAUAGGGACAGUUGGGGGCAUUAGUAUUUAAUAGUCAGAGGUGAAAUUCUUGGAUUUAUUAAGGACUAACUAAUGCGAAAGCAUUUGCCAAAGAUGUUUUCAUUAAUCAAGAACGAAAGUUAGGGGAUCAAAGACGAUCAGAUACCGUCGUAGUCUUAACUAUAAACUAUACCGACUCGGGAUCGGCUGGAACACACGUGUCCAGUCGGCACCGUAUGAGAAAUCAAAGUCUUUGGGUUCUGGGG
rnacentral:rRNA from 1 species